GACGAACGCUGGCGGCGUGCUUAACACAUGCAAGUCGAACGGAAAGGCCCUGCUUUUGUGGGGUGCUCGAGUGGCGAACGGGUGAGUAACACGUGAGUAACCUGCCCUUGACUUUGGGAUAACUUCAGGAAACUGGGGCUAAUACCGGAUAGGAGCUCCUGCUGCAUGGGGGGGGUUGGAAAGUUUCGGCGGUUGGGGAUGGAUUCGCGGCUUAUCAGCUUGUUGGGGGGGUAGUGGCUUACCAAGGCUUUGACGGGUAGCCGGCCUGAGAGGGUGACCGGCCACCUUGGGACUGCGAUACGGCCCAGACUCCUACGGUAGGCAGCAGUGGGGAAUAUUGCACAAUGGGCGGACGCCUGAUGCAGCGACGCCGCGUGCGGGAUGACGGCUUUCGGGUUGUAAACCGCUUUCGCCUGUGCCGAAGCGUGAGUGACGGUAAUGGGUAAGGAAGCACCGGCUAACUACGUG
rnacentral:rRNA from 1 species